UGUCAAGAUGGCGUCGCAAAGAAAAAUUCGAUAUGGAAGUUUGGAAUUAGUACUAAGAUAAUUCGCUGGUGAACUGGAGGUACAAACAUAAAACAAAUUUUGAGAAGCAAAGUCGAAUGGGGAGACCAUCAUAUAGAUUUUGGAUGAUAGCCGCUGCACACUGAGCCCAUCCCCAUCCCCCUUAUCACCUUAUAAUGGAUGAUGAAGAUGUAGCAAUUAUUUCGGCCGUGGUUCAACAGCAAAAUAUGCGAAUAGCCCGAUAGCAGCAACAGUUCUGGUGAUUUUAAUCAGUCAGCAGAACAGAUACGAUCUGCAAUCGCAAAAUAUUGUUUAGACCUUAAUGCAAAUUAUAAACUUAUUUAUUUUUAUAUCUCAGCACUUCCAAUAAAUCAUUCUGGAUUUUU